rnacentral:rRNA from 1 species
AGCAGCCGCGGUAAUUCCAGCUCCAAUAGCGUAUAUUAAAGUUGUUGCAGUUAAAAAGCUCGUAGUUGAAUUUCGGGGUCAGUAGGUUGGUCAUGCCCAUGGUAUGCACUGGUCUCACUGAUUCCUCCUUCCUGAUGAACCGUAAUGCCAUUAAUUUGGUGUUGCGGGGAAUCUGGACUGUUACUUUGAAAAAUUAGAGUGUUUAAAGCAGGCCAACGCCUGAAUACAUUAGCAUGGAAUAAUGAAAUAGGACGUUCGAUCCUAUUUUGUUGGUUUCUAGGAUUGACGUAAUGAUUAAUAGGGAUAGUUGGGGGCAUUAGUAUUCAAUUGUCAGAGGUGAAAUUCUUGGAUUUAUUGAAGACUAACUACUGCGAAAGCAUUUGCCAAGGAUGUUUUCAUUAAUCAAGAACGAAAGUUAGGGGAUCGAAGACGAUCAGAUACCGUCGUAGUCUUAACCAUAAACUAUGCCGACUAGGGAUCGGAUGAUGUUAAUUUUAUAUAGA